rnacentral:rRNA from 1 species
GUGACUGCGUACCUUUUGUAUAAUGGGUCAGCGACUUAUAUUCUGUAGCAAGGUUAACCGUAUAGGGGAGCCGUAGGGAAACCGAGUCUUAACUGGGCGAAUGAGUUGCAGGGUAUAGACCCGAAACCCGGUGAUCUAGCCAUGGGCAGGUUGAAGGUUGGGUAACACUAACUGGAGGACCGAACCGACUAAUGUUGAAAAAUUAGCGGAUGACUUGUGGCUGGGGGUGAAAGGCCAAUCAAACCGGGAGAUAGCUGGUUCUCCCCGAAAGCUAUUUAGGUAGCGCCUCGUGAACUCAUCUUCGGGGGUAGAGCACUGUUUCGACUAGGGGGUCAUCCCGACUUACCAACUCGAUGCAAACUACGAAUACCGAAGAAUGUUAUCACGGGAGACACACGGCGGGUGCUAACGUUCGUCGUGAAGAGGGAAACAACCCAGACCGCCAGCUAAGGUCCCAAAGUCAUAGUUAAGUGGGAAACGAAGUGGGAAGGCUCAGACAGCCAGGAUGUUGGCUUAGAAGCAGCCAUCAUUUAAAGAAAGCGUAAUAGCUCACUGGUCGAGUCGGCCUGCGCGGAAGAUGUAACGGGGCUAAACUAUGCACCGAAGCUGCGGCAGCGA